rnacentral:rRNA from 1 species
AAAUUGAAGAGUUUGAUCAUGGCUCAGAUUGAACGCUGGCGGCAGGCCUAACACAUGCAAGUCGAACGGUAACAGGAAGCAGCUUGCUGCUUCGCUGACGAGUGGCGGACGGGUGAGUAAUGUCUGGGAAACUGCCUGAUGGAGGGGGAUAACUACUGGAAACGGUGGCUAAUACCGCAUAACGUCGCAAGACCAAAGAGGGGGACCUUCGGGCCUCUUGCCAUCAGAUGUGCCCAGAUGGGAUUAGCUGGUUGGUGAGGUAACGGCUCACCAAGGCGACGAUCCCUAGCUGGUCUGAGAGGAUGACCAGCCACACUGGAACUGAGACACGGUCCAGACUCCUACGGGAGGCAGCAGUGGGGAAUAUUGCACAAUGGGCGCAAGCCUGAUGCAGCCAUGCCGCGUGUAUGAAGAAGGCCUUCGGGUUGUAAAGUACUUUCAGCGGGGAGGAAGGUGUUGUGGUUAAUAACUGCAGCAAUUGACGUUACCCGCAGAAGAAGCACCGGCUAACUCCGUGCCAGCAGCCGCGGUAAUACGGAGGGUGCAAGCGUUAAUCGGAAUUACUGGGCGUAAAGCGCACGCAGGCGGUCUGUCAAGUCGGAUGUGAAAUCCCCGGGCUCAACCUGGGAACUGCAUUCGAAACUGGCAGGCUUGAGUCUUGUAGAGGGGGGUAGAAUUCCAGGUGUAGCGGUGAAAUGCGUAGAGAUCUGGAGGAAUACCGGUGGCGAAGGCGGCCCCCUGGACAAAGACUGACGCUCAGGUGCGAAAGCGUGGGGAGCAAACAGGAUUAGAUACCCUGGUAGUCCACGCCGUAAACGAUGUCUACUUGGAGGUUGUGCCCUUGAGGCGUGGCUUCCGGAGCUAACGCGUUAAGUAGACCGCCUGGGGAGUACGGCCGCAAGGUUAAAACUCAAAUGAAUUGACGGGGGCCCGCACAAGCGGUGGAGCAUGUGGUUUAAUUCGAUGCAACGCGAAGAACCUUACCUGGUCUUGACAUCCACAGAACUUUCCAGAGAUGGAUUGGUGCCUUCGGGAACUGUGAGACAGGUGCUGCAUGGCUGUCGUCAGCUCGUGUUGUGAAAUGUUGGGUUAAGUCCCGCAACGAGCGCAACCCUUAUCCUUUGUUGCCAGCGGUUAGG